rnacentral:tRNA from 1 species
GGAAGGAACACGCUCCUGGUGGGGCGGCUGGGCUUCAAACCCAGUGGGUGGCGCCAUGCGUCGCCGGGUAGGUUCGACUCCUGCUUCCUUCCGCCA